AACCUGUGGAGCUUCCCAGGAGACUUGGAGACCUGUUAUGCUGAGAUAAUAACUUCGCAGUGCUCUUCUAAGAGCUUUGCAGAGCGGAGCAGUGUAACCAUCAGACACCAGGAGGCUUCCUGGUCUUCUCAGUACAUCAUGCAAUGGCAGCUUUUUGAAGAUCAGUAAUAUGAAGUCUGUCCUAAAGAACAUUGAAGGUAUCCCUCCUGGAAAACACUGCUAUUUUCUUAUGGUCCACAAGGAAAAGAAAGAAGGAAUGAUGUUGAUUGUGGGGAGGCUCUGCGUGUCUGGGGGCAGAAGAUGGAUGCGAACUCUCUACACUCUCCCUCAAUUUUGCUGUGAACCUAAAACUUCUCUAAAAAAUGAAGUCUAAGCCACGUACAGUGACUCAUGCCUGUAAUCUCAGCACUUUGGGAAGCUGAAGGGAGCACAUUAUUUGAGACCAGGAGUUCAAGACCAUCCUGGGCAACAUAGCAAGACCCCAUCUCUAAAAAAAUUAAUAAAGUCUAUUUAAAAAAUUAG